AUAUAAGUACAUAUGAAAAUUUUAUUAUUGGAGAUAAGAUUUCACAUGAAGAGAUGCUAUGAGGUUAAACGAAGAUGAGUAUAUGUAUAGAAAUAUAUAUACUUAGUAAGGUGCUAUAUAUAUUUUAGCAAGAGGAAUGAUGAAUUAAGUUAAUGACAUAAUGAUUAAGAUAAAACUAUGUUAGUAAUUAACAUAGUUUGAGUGUUGGCCUUGACUGGCAAAUAAGAAUUUGAAUAAGUAUAAAGUCGUUAGAUAAUACGAUUAGCAAUGAGAAGGGAGUAAUUUAAAACUCAAAAUUUGAGUUAGAGAUAGAAUUUU
rnacentral:lncRNA from 1 species